rnacentral:lncRNA from 1 species
ACAGCCCAUGGAAGGCGAGCAGAAGCAGGGUGGGGCAUCACCUCACCCAGGAUCACUGACAGUCACUGUUCUAACUAGAGUGUUAUAACUACACCCUUAAAUAAUUGAGACCAAAAAAUAGUGAGUACAAUGUUAGCAUCGAGGUUCUUACGGGAGUGUUUGUGUGUGUGUGUGUGUGUGUGUGUAUGUUAAGUGGAAUGUUAAAUAAAUUAUCUAGUCGCAGAUUUAUCUUAAAAUCUAACUUCCAGGAUAUUUUAUGAAGUCCAUACAGAUUCAGCAAUGUAAGCAUACAUUAGCUGAUAAUCAUUUACAAUGCCAAUUGCAUCCUGAGGCUGUUAUUGACAUGUCAGCAGAGCAUAUGAUAGAGUUGUUUUUCUGCCAGUACUAAUCCAGAAACAAUGUAAGGUUGCCAAUGCAGAUGGGAUUGUAUUUGCAGAAUGGAGCAAUUCCCAUAAGAGAUUUUUGCCAUACUAACAGUCGCUAGGACUUCCUCAGUUUUCUCCUGUGCCAGGUGGCAGUAGCCACCAACAGCAUUUGGGCACUCUGAUAAGAAACCUGCACAUGUACCCUGAACCUAAAAUAAAAGUUAACAAAAAAGAUAAUAAAAGAUGGAAUUACAAUAAUAAGCAAGCAAUAAAAACUAUUUGGAAUGACCUGGAAAUUUUUAACAAGAAUUAAACAGAACUUUUAAUAAAAUUUCUUCUGUGAUGGGACAUGGAUUUGAGUCUGGCUGUCAGUGACUGUAGGGCUUGCAGUGGAUGUUGGUGCCCCACCAACAUCCUUAGCCGAGAGGAUGAGCCAUGCCCUGGUGCUGUGUUUCCCAGCCAGAGCCCAGCCCCCUUUCAUCCAGGUGAAAAACUCUGUAGAGCCAUCAGACUCCCAAGCUUAUCUGAAACCAUAUCUUUGCUCAUCUUCUUUCCCAGCCCCAGCCACUUCCUUCCUCAAUAAAUCUCUCAUACAAGUAUUACUGACUGAAGCUCUCCUUCUAGGGAAUCUGUUCCAGGGUAAGACUUGAGGGAGUAGCACUCCUUUGAGAGUUUUUCCACCUUAGUUCUUCUUACCUCUCUGCCCUGAUAAAUAGAUCACUCUGGGCACAAUGAAGAAGCUUUCUAUUUGCUUUUGAGCCUUUUUGUCUUUUUGAUACCCAUGACAGGUGGAAACUUAUGUAAAUUAUUUCUUACACUUUUGUCUGG